rnacentral:rRNA from 1 species
AUACGGAGGGUGCAAGCGUUAUCCGGAAUCAUUGGGUUUAAAGGGUCCGUAGGCGGAUAAUUAAGUCAGGGGUGAAAUCCCACAGCUCGACUGUGGCACUGCCUUUGAUACUGGUUAUCUUGAGUUAUAGGGAAGUAGAUAGAAUAUGUAGUGUAGCGGUGAAAUGCAUAGAUAUUACAUAGAAUACCGAUUGCGAAGGCAGUCUACUAUCUGUAUUCUGACGCUAAGGGACGAAAGCGUGGGGAGCGAACAGGAUUAGAAACCCUAGUAGUCC